CCCUGUCUCCUCCUCACCAGGAGCCCUUGGAGCAUGGAGGUCCUGGGGCUGCUCCUCUGCCUACUGGCCGCUCCCUGCGGUGUCCUGUCCCAGGUGCAGCUGCAGGAGUCGGGGCCUGGCCUGGUGAAGCCCUCAGAGACGCUGUCCCUCACCUGCACUGUCUCAGGAUUCUCUUUGACAAGCUAUCAUAUGCACUGGGUCCGCCAGGCUCCAGGAAAGGGACUGGAGUGGGUUGGAGAGAUAUGGAGUGGUGGAAGCACAGAUUAUAACCCAGCCCUGAAAUCCAGAGCCAGCAUCUCCAGGGACACUUCCAAGAGCCAAAGUUAUCUGAGUCUGCGCAGCCUGAUCCCCGAGGACACGGCCAUGUAUUUUUGUGCAAGAGACACA